rnacentral:rRNA from 1 species
UACGUAGGGUGCUAGCGUUGUCCGGAUUUAUUGGGCGUAAAGAGCGUGUAGGCGGCCAUGUAGGUCCGUUGUGAAAACUCGAGGCUCAACCUCGAGACGCCGAUGGAAACCAUGUGGCUAGAGUCCGGAAGAGGAGAGUGGAAUUCCUGGUGUAGCGGUGAAAUGCGCAGAUAUCAGGAGGAACACCGGUGGCGAAGGCGGUUCUCUGGGCAUGUCCUGACGCUGAGGAGCGAAAGUGUGGGGAGCGAACAGG